AUGCUCCUUCAAGUAGGGCAGAAGGACUUUCUGUUUCUUUUUCUUCUCUUUACAGGAGGACUUUUUUAUCACAUGGAUAAAAGAGGAAACAUCAAAAGUCUCCAGGUCACUUUGCCAUUGUACAAAUCUCAAAAUUUCACAAGCCUACCCUCGUCAUUUAUGGAAAAUUUGGGAGAAAAGAAGCUGAAGGAGGAGUGGUCAGCCAAACCAGGUAGAGCUCGACCUUCUGAGGGCAUGCUGCCUCCUUCCAUGCUGUCCCCACUGAGGUUAGAGGACCAGUUUUCCUUCAGACAUGGCCACCUCUGAUCAUCUGACUGAAAAAGUUCUUUGGCUCAGUCCAGCUGUACAAACCACGGAGGUGAUUGAGAAAGACAUUUAUCUAAGAGAAGUUGAGAAUAUUAUGGAUAAUAUGAAGGUAUAUUAUUAUGUACAAUAACAUAUAUAAUGUAGAGGAAGUGUGAUUGACUGGGAAGAGAAAAGCAAAAUAACUGCAGUAUUUCAGAAAAUAUCACACUCCUUUAUUUGGCAAAACACUGUUUUCUACCAAAAUAGCCUCAUUCCAUACUUCCUUGAAUAUGUUUAAUGAGAUUGUUUCUGAAAUUUGCUCAAUUUAAGGUUUACCUCUAAACACCUUUUAAAGAUUACUGUCAGAUUUGGGGAAAUUAACUUAAAUACACUUUUUCUUUGACAAUUAAACAGAGUCAGAUACCCCUGAGAAUUCCUCAAACUUGUAUUUCUAGCUCUUUUUUCUCUUUCCUUACAUAAUAAAGUAUAGCCAUUAUCUUUUCCA
rnacentral:lncRNA from 1 species